rnacentral:rRNA from 1 species
GACGAACGCUGGCGGCGUGCUUAACACAUGCAAGUCGAACGGAAAGGCCCUGCUUGCAGGGUGCUCGAGUGGCGAACGGGUGAGUAACACGUGGGUGAUCUGCCCCUUACUUUGGGAUAAGCCUGGGAAACUGGGUCUAAUACUGGAUAGGACCAUGCUGUAGGUGGUGUGGUGGAAAGAUUAGUUUCGGUAAGGGAUGAGCUCGCGGCCUAUCAGCUUGUUGGUGGGGUAAUGGCCUACCAAGGCGUCGACGGGUAGCCGGCCUGAGAGGGUGGACGGCCACAUUGGGACUGAGAUACGGCCCAGACUCCUACGGGAGGCAGCAGUGGGGAAUAUUGCACAAUGGGCGCAAGCCUGAUGCAGCGACGCCGCGUGGGGGAUGACGGCCUUCGGGUUGUAAACUCCUUUCAGCCAUGACGAAGCCCUUGUGCUGACGGUAGUGGUAGAAGAAGCACCGGCUAACUACGUG